rnacentral:lncRNA from 1 species
AAAAUAAAAUACUAAUAUCUUAAAUAUUAAAUUCGUAAUUACAAAAAUAACCAAAAAUACAAAACACGUUAAACUAAAAACUGCAGGUCCGUAGUUGACAGCACGCGCCCACGCCUUAUCAAUAAAGUUCUUCUGACACUCAUUAUUUCUCCAAGAGAACAAUCAUCCUUAAACAUCAUAUUGUAGCUCAAUUUUAGCACCAAUCAAUAGAAUUGCACCUACAAAAGUAAAACACAAGUAAAUCACUAUUAUUAAGUGCAAAACAUCGAUAUUAAAGGAAGCAAACAAUGCAAAACUAGUGCAUAAAUUGCACUCUAACAAAUUCCCCCACACCAAGAUGAUGCUUGUCCUCAAGCAUAUAACUCAAGACUAAUCCCAAAUCUCCGCUCAAUUCUCAUCUCAACUCAUCCAAAAACAAUUUUAAGCAAGCAUACCUCAAGAAAUUAAGUCGAUCAUCAUUCGAGAGACAAGGAUUUUAAAGCAUAGAAUCUCAUAAGAUAGAAUAAGAACAUUCAACCACCAAGAAGAUCCAUUCAAAAUUCAAGUGCAAUAAGAUUUAAUAGCCCUCUCAUUGACUUCACUCCAUUCACUCAAAGUGUUUAGGGUAUCAUUUAUGCACUCAAAUCAAAUCAAAGAAUGCUAUUACCAUAAGUUUGCUCAUAUAUCACAUCUCAAUCCACAAAACAUGAAUAAAAUGCAAAAAUCUAAGGGUUUUAAAAAGGUUGUAAUGUGGUUAAAUAGGUUAACUGAAAAAAGAAAGGUCUACGAAAGAAAAAGAUAUCAAAAUGAGAAGAAUGAACUCAUUGAAUGAACUUAUAAUAUCAAAAUGCUUAUUUCUACUUAAGUCACCAAGAAUGUAAACUUUUUUUUUUCUUUUUUCGAUUUUUUUCUUUUUUUUCUUUUUCUUUUUUUUUUUAAUCAAAAGAAAAGAAACGAACCUUGCACAAUUUAAUUCAAGCAUAAUGUUUGUUGAUCUAAUUGAGAAACUUUAAUACAAGGUAGAAAAAGCAACAAAAUAUAUACAAAAUAUAUCCGUACAAUGAGUCCAAAAAUCUCCUUAAAUUGAGGCUCAAAAAGAAGAAAAAUUGUUAAGUAGACGGAGAGAAUUAGAUGGGUAAUGGUUAAGACUCAAACAAAGAUAGCAAAUAAAAGUCUUCGGGUAGAGAAAAAAAAAAAAGCGAGAAACAAAUGUUUACAUAGAAACAAAUGGCGCGCAGUCGAUUUGUCGAUCUAGGACCACUCUCGUAUACUUGGUGAGAUUCGGCUUCACCAAAUUUGUAGCCUAUAUUUUACUUUAAUGAGAAAAUCAAGUAAUGUUUGAACAUAUAAUUUUCUUUUUUCUAUAUACUUUCUUAAAAUGUAUGGAGUGGGUAAAGUACAAAUUGAUUUUUUAGCCCUUUGACUCCUCCAAAAUUUGAACUCAAUUUAAUGUCAAUUAAAAUAAUGCUACUUGAAAAUCAUUCAACCAAAUAUCGUAAAAACUAUAAUUUUACGAAGUGAAAGUUUCACUGAUUAUUGAAUUAUAGAACAUGCUAUCAUUUCCUAGUUAGAAUUUGUUUAAUUCUAUUAAUUUACAAUCAUUCUUUAUUUUAUUCAAUUAAUUAAAGUGAAUUUGUUUUGUAUAAGUUCUAUAUAUGUAAAAUUUUAAAAUUCAGUGUUGAACUUAAUUGUACUAAACCUUUUAUAAUUUUUUAUCACACCUGCAUGUUUAACAGUCUAGUAUUAAUAUUGAUAGCACAUAAUAUAUAGGAUUAAGAGACACUGAUUUCGGGUGCCACAAGAUUUUUAGGAUUGCAUGCACAAGGGCUUACAAGAUUUUUAGGAUUGCAUGUAGGGGUGGGUGUGGUUCGGUUCGGUUCGAUUUUUAAUUAAAUUUUUCAUAAUCGUUCGAUUACAAUUAUUUUAAAAUCAUAAUCGCGAUUAAUCAAAUUACCGAAAUGAUUAAAUACUCGAUUAAUCAAAAUAAUUCGAUUCGAUUCGGUUCGAUUAUUUUAAUUAUGAGCUUAUUGGAUCUAUUUUGAGUUUUUUUAAAUUUAAAACCUUAAAUAAAUAAAUCUACCACAAACAUAAAAAAAUUAACAAACGAUUUGUUUCUUAGUUAAAAGUUUUUAAUCUUUUACUGCUUUUAUUAUUAUCCCCUUUUUCGUGAUUGUUGGUACAUGUGUCAAAUCAUAGGUGGAAGCUUCUACAAAAUAAAAAUUAACCAAAAAAUCAAUUAAGAUUAUAGUUUAAUUAAGGAUCCAUACAGAGUUAGUUAGCAGAACCAGCUGGAAAAUGUUUUUGUCUGAACCUGUUGCAGAAAAUUAAUAGUUGCUAGCGUUUUUUAUUAAUUAAUUUAGUUAUGAAUAUACAAACUUAAAAAGUCAUGAAUGAGACGUGUUUGAACUUGCUUUAGUUUUCAUCAGUAGUAAAAAUAGCACCAGUAAUUCACAGCACCAGCAUUUAGUUAUGAACUUGCUUUACGUGCUCUGGAAAAUAUCAGUCAUUUUACAAAUGAAAAAGAAAUCAAGAUCUCAUGUUUCACCAUGCUUGGGUUGGUAUCAAACAUAGCAGCACCAAAAAAUCAAACCCACUGAAGGAGAAUUACCAAAUACAAGGUCAGGAUUCCACCAUAUUGGCAAAAUUGACAUUUUGACCGUCAUUAGUAGCAUUAAUUGUCUUGUAGCGUACAGAGCCACACAAAACAUUAAGACUAAAGAAAUCAAAGAUGAAAACAAACACCAUAUCACAUCAAACAUUUUCAAACACGGCUUUAAGAUAUAAAAAUCAUGAUCAAUCUCAACAGUAUCCAGUUUGCGAUUUGGGAAAAGAAACUGAAAAAACCAAUCAUUCAAUCAUCUUUCAGCCAAAGAAACAAACCAUAUCUCACCCAAAUGGGGGAAAAGAAAAAACAAAAGAAUGAAUCAUAAAUCACAAAUCAAUUUUGGUAUACAAAUUAGUAGUCAUGGUUAUAACUAAAUGCAGCAUCUCAAGUGAACGAACCUCAACAAAUAAUGAAACGAAACACGAAACAAUCAGCAGUAGCUCAAGUUAUUGGUUUUUAUUCUCUGCAAAAACAGAACAAACCAGAGAAAUGAGAGACAAAAACAGCAGCGAUAUUUACAUAACUCAAGCACAUUAACAAAAACAUGGGAACGAGGAAAAAGAAAUGAACUUUAAACCAAAUUCAUAAAACCGAAACGAAAAAUGGAACCUUUUUCGUUCGAUUUUUUGUUCUGCUGAGAGAUUUUGUGGACAAAAACAAAAGAACCCAGAAAUGCUAAAGAGGAAGAGAGAGAAAUCAAUACGUGAUCGUAGUGUUAAAAAAAAAAAAAACCUCACAACAGUAGUCAGAUGGCAGCAGGGGAGCACCGUGACAGCAGCAACAAUUGAUAGUAGGUGACAGCGGCAAGUGACAGUGGCAGCAGCAGCAGAUGACAGCGGCUACAGCAGGUGGUAGCGGCGGCGGAGAGUCGUGAAGGACAAGCAGCAGCAGCAGCGGGGACGAGAUUCCAGCGGCUGAAGGUGCUGCGGCUUCGGUUUUCGGCUGAAGAUCAGAAGAAAUGAAGAAUGUGUUUAGUUUAGACUUGAGGGAUUGUUAUUUGACAUUCGGUUUUUUUUAUAUUCGGUUCGGG